ACUUGAAACCAAAGCGUGUCAUUAAGACAGGAGGUCAGGUCACAACUAAGCCCCCUCUAAAAACCACGCACCAUCCUGUGACUGGGAAUUAGCAGGUCCCAGCCCUCCCGGGAUCACCAGCCUUUUGUUUCAGGACAACUGUGUUGACAUUUUGUUUGUGCGCUAACAAAGUUUGCCUGGAGAUCAGAGUGAGGAGCUAGCCACUAGUUAAUAACCAUAGAGGCCAGGCAGGGAUGGCACACACCUUUAAUCCCAGCACUUGGGAGGAGGAAGCAGGAAGGUCAAAAGUUCAAAGCCACCCUGGGCUACAUGAGAUUGAUCCAGUCUACAAGAGAAACAGAGCCAGGUGAUGGAAGCUCACGCCUUUAAUCCCAGCACUAGGGAGGUGGAGACAGGAAUACACGGUGGGAGGGACAGAAGUGCAGCCCCUUCUCCAUCUGAGGAGUCGUGGAGGUAAGAGGUGACUUUGACUGCUCUUUUACGUCUCCGAUCUUUCAGCAUUUACCCCGAUAUCUGGCUCCGGGUUUUUAUUAUUAAGACCAAUUAGAAUUCGCACUACACGCAACUCUUCUUCGCUGUUCCCACAGGACAGAGAGCCACCCUGUUUCUUAAUUCCACAGUACUGUAUUAGAAACACUCAUGCCAUCACGGUAGUCUGAGAGGCAGCUCCCUGCACACUGCAGGCUUAGGACCUGACCCUGGCUGUGCCCAUUGCUGUACUCUCUAGGCAGCAGAUAAGUGGGUCGAGACCAGAGAAGGCGGCUGCCCUUUGUGGUCUGAUCUCGGGUGUGUUGCCUCAGUGAGAAGGUGGGCUGCUUAGAGUUACCUGGAAAUGGAACUGUGGCCAGGCCAGGCCCAGGCCCCUUUAAGAUUCUGGAGGGGAGGUAGGUUGUACGGAAAGUCUGUAACGUGUGGAGUCUUAUUGGGAAGAAAUGAAAAAAUGCAUUCAUAAGCAGGAAAAAUUAGAGGAACUUUUAUAUUUUAUUUUUAUAAUUACAAUUUUAUAAUUAAUGAACUUCUCGUGUAGAGAAAGGGGGUGCCCACAUGGCACAGUGCACGUGUGGAGGUCAGAGGACAACUUGCUCUAGUCCAGAGGUUCUCAACCUUCCUGAUGCUGCGACCCUUUAACACAGUCCCUCAUGCUGUGGGGACCCCCAACCAUACACUUAUUUUCAUUGCUAUUUCAGAGCUGUAAUUUUGCUACUGUUAUGAAUUGUAAUAUAAAGUUCUGAUCUACAAGAUUAUGUGGCUCCCUGUGGAAGGGUUGUUCAAACCCCCAAAGGGGUCACAACCCACACAUUGAGAACCACUGCUGUAGCUGAUUUUUUUUUUUUUUCUUUCCACCAUGUGAAUCACAGAGAAUCAAACUUAGGUUGUCAGUCAGACUUGGCAGCAAGCAUCGUUACCAGCUAAGAAUUUCUAAUACUCAAAAAUGAUUAACAACCAGAGUGUGUGUGUGUGUGUGUGUGUGUGUGUGUGUGUGUGAUUUAUUAUUACAAAAACCGAAACUCCUCUGUGAGCUUUCUAAUUAUACAUAUGUAAGAUGAAAACAAAUAAUACAGGUAUAUUCUUUGACUUUCUAAAGUGCUUCUACAGAUGCAUUCACUUGUUUAUUGACAAAGAUCCAGACAUUAUUCCAGCUCCAGGAGAUCAUAGCUAUGAGCAACAAAGGUAAGAUGACAGCCCUCCCCCCAACCACACACACACACACACACACACACACACACACACACACACACACACUUCUGUUGGCUAGGGUGGAUAGACUGUAUUUAUCUGAUGAUGAGUUCAGAGAGUGGUAAAUGUCAUGAGGACCAGAAAGUCAGGCAAGGACCAGCAUGGUGGCUGUGCUGUCCUCCAAGACAGCCGUGGGAGCUCACUUAAAUUGAAGUCUGAAUUAUUGAAAUAAAAUGAGACAAGAAUGCACCUCUUAAGUUCAAUACAUUUGCAUGCCCAGCGCUAACAACCACACAAGGCUAGUGGCUGGUGGCAUGGGUACAGAACACUUGCACCCUUGCAGAACUAAUGGCAAAGAACUAAGAGAGACAGGGCCAAUUCAAACUGGGUGCCAGGAAGGCCUGUCUGAGGAGGGGCCUUGAGCAGGAGUCUGAAAAUGAGAAGAAACCAGUGGCUGGCUGGCAGGGGGCGGAGUCUGGGUGAAGCGGGGUGGUGGUUUGGAUAAGAACGGUCCCUAUUGACUCAUAUAUUUGAAUGCCUGGUCAUCUGGGCAUAACACUACUUGAGAGGAAUUAAGAGGUGUGGUCUUGUUGGAGAAAGUGUGUCACUGGAGGUGGGCUCUGGGCUUUCAAAAGCUCCAACUAGUCCCAGUGUCUCCCUCUCUUCUUGCUGGCUGUGGAUCCAGAUAUAGAACGCCCAGCUACUUCUCCAGCACCAUGUAUGUCUGCCUGCACCAUGCUCCCUGCCAGGAUGACAAUGGACUGAACCUCUGAGACUGUAAGCCAGCCCCAAUUUAAUGCUUUCCUUUGUAUUCACAGCAGUAGAACACUGACUGAGACAAGGGGGCAGCGACGACAGGCAGGCACAUCCAGACUCUGCACAGAGAAAUGUAAGAAUACGUUUGGCAAAGUUGAGGAAGAGAAAUAUUGGCGUGGUUGAAGUGUGAUCUUGGAGUAAGAGGGACAACAGCAGCAAUGAAGUCAAAAGUAAUAAGUAGAGGUGACAGCCGUGCUCACCACGUGACAGCAGGAUCAUCGAGGGAAGUCUUGUGUACAGCAAGCAAUAUCCAGAGACCUUGAAGGACACCCCUGAGAAGGGACCCCGAGAACUCAGCACUCUGGAACACUAGCAGGGGAGGCCGUGUCUUCGUCCAGAGUAAUCCGGGAAUUCAGUGCAGAGCCUCAGAGACCCUGCUGAGCAUUUCCCCAAGCCCAGCACCUCCCCAGCGUCCUGCCCCCAACCCCACCAUUCCUCCCCAAGGCUCACUGUCAUGACUGAGAAGUCCCUAAGGCUGCAAGCUUAGAGCGGCUUUGGUGGUGGCUUGUGAGCUUUAGGCCUGGCGCACAGAGACCAUUCAGUCCCAAGAGUUAUGACUGCUGUCCAGUUCUGUCCUCGAUGCUCCUCCAACCCCACUUACUGCUUGUUUUCAGUCUUUCUAUUUUCCAACAAAGUGACCGUACUAGUUCUCCACCUCUAUCACAAACGCCUGGGAUGAGGUAAAUUCUAGUGAUCAGUAUCAGAGACGUUGACCCAUGGGUUGGUUGGCAUUAUUGUUUUAGCUUUGUGGCAGCACUCUGUAGUAGAAAUAGAAGGCAGAACAAAGUCACUCACCCCACAGCCAGGAAGCAAAAGGGCAGAGAAAGAAACCAGAGCCCCAGAGUCUCACAGUCCGUCCAAGAGCAAGUCCCCGGUGACAGAAAGAAUGCCCGGGGGGGUGGGGGGGGUCUCUCCUGCUGUGUCACCGUCUCCCAAUAGUGUCCAGCUGGGGACCAAACCUUUUUCUAAAAAGUUAUAACACUUUUAUUAAUUAUUUGAGACUUUUAUAAAACAUACCUUGACUGAAGACCAAACUCAACACGUCACUUAUCCAAAAUACAGCAAUGACUACCCUAUCCCACGAACUUUUUUCUUUUAUUGAAAAUAAGGUGGUUUUUUUUCAUGCAAUAUAUUUUGAUUAUGGUUUUCCCUCCCUUUACUCCCCCAAGUUCCUUCCUACCUCUCCUCCAUCCAGAGCCACCCCCUUUCUGCCUCUCUCUCUAGAAAACAAACAGGCAUCUAAGGGAUAAUAACAAAGUAAGAUUCCAUGAGUGUGAUGGUCAUUUGUGGUUGUUAGCUUGACUACCUCUGGAACUAACUAAAACCCAAGUGCCUGGGUGUACCUCUGAAGGGUUUUCUUAACUAAAUCAUUUGAAGUGGGAAGACCCACUUUUAAUCCAGAUCUUUUGAGGUGGGAGGAUCCACCUUUAAUCUGGGCCACACCUUCUGGUGGCAGCCUACAUAAACGACAUGGGAGAAAGAAAUUUGCUCUCUUUGCUUGCUUCCUCUGGGUCUCUCUGGCAAGUCCAUUCCUUCACUGGCAUUAGAGCCCACUCCUUUGGAAUUCUGGUUUAAACUGAUGACUCUCUGAGACAUCCAGCUUCAUGGACUGAACAACUGUUGGAUUCUUGGACCUUCCGUUGCUAACAGUCAUUAUUGGAUUAGCAGGACCACAGCCUGUCAGCCAUUGUAAUAAAGCCCAUAUAUAUUCCCUCUUUUCCUCUAGAGGACCCUGACUAAUACAAAAAGAUAAAACCAAACAAUUAAGAUAGGACAAAGCAAAUAAGGAAAAGAGCCCAAGGAAAGGCACAAGAAAUAGCUACAGAUGCAGAGACUCACUCGUUCCCACACCCGGUAACCCCACAAAAAUACAAAACCAGGAGCCAUAUGUAUGUGGAAAACCUGUAAGAUAGAUAGAUGUAAAAUUAAAUUAAAAUAAAAAGGCCUGAUGUGACAUUAUGAGACAA